rnacentral:rRNA from 1 species
AGAGUUUGAUCCUGGCUCAGAACGUACGCUGGCGGCACGCCUUAUACAUGCAAGUCGAACGAAGUAGUAAUACUUAGUGGCAGACGGGUGAGUAACAUGUGGGUAUCUUCCCUUUGGUGAGGAAUAACACGAGGAAACUUGUGCUAAUACCUCAUAAGUCUUCACGGAGAAAGCUUUAUGCGCCAAUGGAUGAGCCCGCACUUGAUUAGUUUGUUGGUGGGGUAAUAGCCUACCAAGACUUUGAUCAAUAGCUGAUUUGAGAGGAUGAUCAGCCACAUUGGGUCUGAGACACGGCCCAAACUCCUACGGGAGGCAGCAGUAGGGAAUCUUGCACAAUGGAGGAAACUCUGAUGCAGCGAUGCCGCGUGAGUGAAGAAGGCCUUUGGGCUGUAAAGCUCUUUCGUCGGGGAAGAAAAUGACUGUACCCGAAUAAGAAGGUCCGGCUAACUUCGUGCCAGCAGCCGCGGUAAUACGAAGGGACCUAGCGUAGUUCGGAAUUACUGGGCUUAAAGAGUUCGUAGGUGGUUAAAAAAGUUGGUGGUGAAAUCCCAGAGCUUAACUCUGGAACUGCCAUCAAAACUUUUUAGCUAGAGUAUGAUAGAGGAAAGCAGAAUUUCUAGUGUAGAGGUGAAAUUCGUAGAUAUUAGAAAGAAUACCAAUUGCGAAGGCAGCUUUCUGGAUCGUUACUGACACUGAGGAACGAAAGCAUGGGUAG